UUUGAAUUCAAUAACAAAACCAGAACGAAAUCGGCUUCUUUUCUCCCCCGUACUUUCUCUCUCUUUCAUCCCAAAACCAGAUCAUUUUCUCAAUUUCCUCCUCUCCUCCCAAGCCGCAUCGAAGGCAGCAUGAAGAAACUCCGAGCGGAGCACAACAGGUUAGAUAUGCUUAUUAAUCGGAUCCAGGCCAAGUCCUUUGAGAGAUCAAGCCCCUCGCCUUCGCCGUCUCCGUCUCCAUCGCCGCCGCCUGCUCCGGUUAGAUCUGCUUAUUUCUGGUUUUGUCCACUUAUUUAUACUGUUCACUUGCAUGGGUCUUUCGAAAUACUUCUAUAAAAAGAAGGGUAAUCCCACCUUGGUGUGUGGUUACUGACUUUGUUUAAUCCAUGCUUAAAUCGAUGGGUGAAUCCACGAAAAACUCGAACAACUUUGAAGUAUUAAUUUAUCAAGACUUUCCAAUCCUUUGAAAUCAGGGGUGGUUUUGAGGAAACGAGAAUCACUACUAAAUUAGGAUAUUCAGGCUCUGUAACUGCUGUUUAAGAGAAUAAAAAAAAUAUGGAAUUAGAUUAUAUCUGCAUAAUUUUCAUAAACUAUUGAACCAAAUAAACUAUGUACUAUACAAAUUCGAUGAGAAAGAUGGAGUUGCCACUAAUAUAUGCCUUGGUGCCUUCCCACAGUAUAUUGACUUUGCUGUUUUGAUUUAUGUUACUGUUGUUAUAAUCAAUUAACAAAAACUGUUGGUUAGCCUGAUACUAAUGGGAAUGGCCUGAUACUUUUUAUGGAUGAGAAUUGAUUUGUGUUACUAGCUAGAAUAGAAUAGAAUAUUGUUUGAAACCACUGAAAAGUGUUUGUUAAUUUUGUGGGUGAAAAAUGUACCUUGAGUGCGAGUUUGGUAAUUAGUUAGUUAAACUCAAGUACGUAUACGUACACCCCCUUUCAGAUAGUAGUCUUAUUCUCUACUAUUUUUUCUGGCCUUCUUGGUGGUUCAAGUAUAUAUAUCAUGCUGCUGUGAAGAAAUACAUGUAUGCUUGUAUAGUACCCUGAAAUACAGAUAGAUUAGUCAUGUUAGCAAUAGUAGUGUUCGAUCCAUUUUGAUAUUUAUACUACAUUCAUGCCUCCCAAAUGCAAUAUUUUUCUGCAAAUAUAUUGCUGCUGCAUUUAAUUACAUCUUACUCUCGAUAUUUAGAAGAUUUCCAGUCUUACAUCUUACAUCUAACUCAAACAAUAGCUUAUUUGAGUUAUGGAAACAAUAAAUUAACUCAAACAAUAACUUUUUGUUAGGAAUCUGAUCUAGAUUCCACUUCUGUAUAAACUAGGGUACCCUAUUAAAAAGCAUGAGAACAAGUUCUGUUCUUAAUACUGCUAUUUGUCUCUUAAGUUGUAAAUGCUUAUGAAACCUUCAUUAUUUAACAUCCUUAAUUUUAGGUUCUUCUAUGAUUAGCUUAAAAGAUGAAUAAUUUUACACCAAUGCUAGCAUGUCCCUUGGUUUUUCUUGCUUUCUUCAAGUCAUUCUGUCCCAAAAAGGAUUCAUCAUUCAAAUACAGACCCCACAUACUACUCUCUUAUCAGGAACUGCACUACAGACUUCAAUUCACAGAACCUCUCUUGUAGCUUCACAUAUAUAUAGUGCUAGAUAUCUCUCAUCAGUAAAAGAGGAGAAACUCAAUAUACACUCGUGUUUCUUCACAAUUUCAGGCCUUUUUUUUAAUAAUCAUAAGAAGAGAAUAAUAGCAUUAGGAAAGCAAUUUACAUACAACAUGGUACAAUUUAACACACUAACUCGUAAUUCUCUUGUUCAAGCCAUCAAACGAAGCUAUGAAGAAAAUAUGUGAGAAACUUAAGUAACUGCGAACACAUCUCAUGACAUUUUUUUACCUCAAGAUAUGGAAUGCCUCCUAUCUUUACUGGGUUAUUUAUUCUGGCCUUUUUUAGUCGGUGUGGUUCCAUCAGCAUGAGCAAAUACUAAUAUUAUUUAUUUUUCUCUUACAGUUGCAAUUAGUUAAGAUGCAAAUUAAUGAAGGUUGACAAGAGUUUUACUAUCUUUUUAAUGAUGUUAAUUUGAUACUUUCUCUAAGAUGUUUAAAUUUUGAUUUUUAUGAUCAAUGGUAUAUGAUGGUGUUGAACAUUUUCCUCCCCUUUAUGAUUAAGCGUUUAAUUAAUAUGUAUGGUUUAAACUUUAAAUUGUGAUUGGUGAUGAUUAAUUAUUCAAUUUUUUUUCUUUAUUUUUUGUAAAUAAUUUGAAUGAAUUUUAUAUUAGGUGACUAAUAAACGAAUUCGGAUAUCCGGAUAAUUUGUUUAUUCGAAUAUCCGGAUAAUCCAUAUUGAGAUAUCAUUCCGAAUACCGGAUACAAAUAAUUUUUUUAAAAUUUGCAGGAUACCGAAUAUGAAUACGGAUAACGAAUUAAUUUUUCGGAUAUGAAUACAAAUACUACUGUAUCUGGAUCUGUAUAUAUCCGUUUACAUCCCACUUAGAGACUUAAAAGGUAAGUAAUAUAAGUAUAAAACUACUUCCUCUCGCGAUUUCUCCAUCUCCGACAUUCUACCUCCCUCACCGGUAAUAUCCUCUUUCUCUCAUCUCUCUUCUUCUCAGUCUCUCACACAAACACACUUUUUGAACAUACACUCAAUGUACAAUUGUACACACACUCCACACACAGUGCACUAUUAAUUUGUUAUUCCCCACUAGUUUUGUUCUUUUGCUGUUGUUUGUUGUAAAAAUGUGUGUUACAUGCACCUGUGAUUGUUAUAUUUGGGUUGAAUUAGAGUUCUGCCUUUGGGGAAUAAUUAAAUGUAAAUUUUAAUUAAAAAUUGUGUAAUUGACGAUUUUAGUACAUAGUAUAGGGGCUAAAAUUGGGAGCUGAAUUGGUGUUGCCUACCACACAUUUGUUGAUUGGUUUUAAAUAUAAUCUCUAAACUGAGUUUUGAAGGCUUGUGAGCUUGUCCAAUACCUGUAUUGUGUCCUAAAUUUUAAGGUUUAACUUGAUCAACUCAUCAGAGAUUAGGAAUGUACUUUUCCUACAUUGAGAUUUAUAUUCGUUGUACAUUUAUAUAUGAUUAAUGUCUUGCAAUCUCUUGAAAACUCUCCUGAAAGACCUGAACAACAGCAAUGUGUCAAUUCAAAUCAGUGCUCUUCUGUAUAUGAUGAGGCUUUUCUGAAUGAUUUCUGUGACUCUGAUAACUGGCGUGGAAGUGACAUAGCUGUAUGUAAUGCUUACUUCUGUGUUAAUAUGCCUUCUGUUACUAUUUAUUAGCUAGCAAAAUCAGUUGUUAGCGUCGCCUAUUGUUAAACAUCUGUAAACAACUAAACAUUAUCAUAAGCCUUAUAUUUGCAAGUCUUUGGUGGAAGAUAUUAGAGUGGAUACAAGAAGUGUGUAAACCAAUAUAUACAUAUUUUCCCUUUUUGUUAUGAUCUUUUACUCAGGUUAAAUAAGAAUUCAUAUGCAUAACUAAAUUCCUGCAAUUAUUGAUAUUUUUCUAUAUCCCCCCCCCCCCACCUUCUCACACACAUACCUUUUACCUCUUCUUGCACAAUUUCGUUUUGGUUGAUAUGUUAUUCCAUUUUCCUUGUUCUGGGUUGUCCAGGAGUGAAUGAGUUUGAUUUGGGAUUGUUAAAUGUUUAUGUUUGUCUGUAUUGAAUGUGAGGUUUCUUUUAUGUUGGCUGGUCUAGAUGUUUAUGCACUGGACUCAUGUAUAGAUAUUCACCUUAUAUGCAUUAGGAGGCCAAUCUAGGAAUGAUUCUAGGUCCUUGAGGACUCAUGCGAAAGUCAAAGGCUGGUACUGUUACUACCAAUGUACCUCAAAUAGGAUUUCAAUUGUUUAAUGUAUGUGCAGUACUUGUAUAUAUUUCUAAAUUAUAAACUUCUGAUAUUAGGAAUUCUUUUAGUUUCAAUUUCUACAACUUCUUUUAGUUUCAUUUAUACAAUAUAAUUAUUGUCUAUUACUUGUUUUAUUAUUUAGUGGCACUCGCAACUUGCAACUUGCAUAUCACGUGUAUGAAUAGAAUUAGGAUAGAAAUGACACGAUCAUGAUUAUCGUAAUAGUGAAAAUCUAAACUUCUUGUUGAUCUGUGCUCUCAAGUAUGAGUUAGUUCUUUUGGUAGUUAGCAUUUCUGAAUGUAGUAUAAGAUAAACAGGAUCUUACAUGUUGCAGGCUAUAGACAAAUUUGAGAAGGGAAAAGUUGAAUAUAGAGCAUAUAAGACGAGAGUUGUUAAUUUACCUAUCAGAAAGGCUAUUUUUCCAUAGGAAGAUCUUCCUGUAAGCUUGCUUGCUGUAGUGGUACUCUCUCACUCUUUCUGUCAUGUUUCACCAUCAUUGCACACUGAUUCAUUGCCUAGAUGCAAUAUCUAAUUUUGUGUAUUAUUUGUUUUGGAGGAAGAUCUUUAAUUUUGUUGUUGGUACUCUUAACAAAACUGUUUCCUACAAUUAUUUCAUUAAACAGUUUUAGUAAUAUAAUUAUUUGGGAGAAAAUUAAUAUUAGAUAUUUUUGCAACCAUCUUAUGUAUGUUUGGGAUUUGUAUACACACACACAUAGGUUUAAAAAAUAAAUGAUAUAAUUUUUUCAUUUCAUUCUCGACAGAUAGUCCGUCGCCUAUGAGUCCGUCGAUCUUUAACUCAUUCUCAACGGUAGCACCCGGUGACGACACCGUUGACGAUGAUAGGGGUGACAAAAAAGGCGUGAAUGAGAUCAUUUUUGACGAAUUUUUUUGUUGUCUACUUUAAAAAUUGCUUUAGAAUGUACUAAAAUUUGCUAUAUUUAAUUUUUGGCAAAACUAAUGAAUUACCCACUGUAGUCGACACGUUUUACUCAUUACACCAUUGAACUUUUAAUUUUUCAAAUUAUCCCAGUAAACUAAUUAUUAUUUUGAAAUUGGGUCAUUCCGUUAAAAACAUUAAACACCCGUAAAUUUUUUAUCGACAAAACUAUUGAAUUCUCCACUGUAGUUGACAUGUUUUACUGAUUGUACCAUUAAACUUUUAAUUUUUUAAAUUACCCCAGUAAAAUAAUUAUUAUUUUGAAAUUAGGUCAUUCGGCUAAAAAAAUUAAGCAGACAUUAAUUUUUUAUCUACGUGGCUUUGGAAAAAAAAUUCAAAAUUCAAAAAUAUUAUUUAUGUAGCAAAAAAAUAAAAAACUUGAAAAUGAAAGCUAAAAAAUUAAAAUAUUUUGGUACUCUGAUCUCAAACGUUUAUCAAUAGAAGAAACUUUCUCAUGAAUGAAAAGUAAUGUAUCAACAACAGAAAUGAAAAUGCGAUAAUUGGCAAUAACCACCUCUUGUAUUUGCCUCUGAAUUAUCUCCGCAUUCAUCCGUAAAAACUCAAGCUUAUAUCAAAUCAUAAAUACAAUCCCAACAAAAUCAAUUUAACCAAAUAUUACUACCAUAUGUGUGUGUGUAUAUAUAUAUAUACAUAUAUAUAUAAAGAGAUUGGAGAAGGAGUGGACCUUGUGGAGGCGAUCAAGAGUGAAUGAGGAGUUCAGAGACAUAAGGCCGCUUAGAGUCGAAUGUAAAAGGGAGGAAACCUACACCACCAUUUACUUCAUCUGUUGUUGUUGGGGAUUCAGACUCCAUUGUUAUAUCUAAUGCUGAAUUUUGAAGCUCAAUUCAAUGUUUUGGGUAUCUGGAUCUAGGAUUUUUCAUUGAUUUUAUAGAGAAAAUGCGCAAUCUAUUUGAUUUGGGGGAGAAGAGAGAGAUGAUGGGAAGGAAGAGAGAAAAUAAAUCAAAUUUGUUUAUUUUUUUUUUCUUUUUCACGUUCACGUAAGAUAAAAACUGAAACGAUUUUAUAGUCGCGAGGCAGAUAUAACAUAAUUACCUAAUUUCAAAAUAAUAAUUAGUUUAAUUGAAUAAUUUGAAAAAUUAAAAGUUCAACGACGUAAUCAGUAAAACGUGCCAAUUACAGUGGGUAAUUUAUUAGUUUUGUCAAUAAAAAAUUAAUUGUCGUUUAAUUUUUUAAACAGAAUGACUCAAUUUCAAAAUAAUAAUUAGUUUAAUAGGGUAAUUUGAAAAAUUAAAAGUUCAAUGGUGUAAUCAGUAAAACGUGGCAACUACAGUAGGUAAUUCAUUAGUCUUGCCCCUUUUUUUUUCUUCCGCCAAUUGGAAUUUGUUGGACUCGAAAGUAUUAUCUUCAAUUUUUUUUAUGACCGUGUAUGAAUUAUGCAUGAGCUUUUAAUAAGUUGAUUGAUUUCUUUACAUGAGAUGGGCAAGUCUUUGCAUUAAAUCUAGUGCUUUAAGUUUUUUAUUUAUAUCUUUUAAAAUUUUGCGUAAGUACUUGGUUUCUCUUCCAAAUGUAUCUCAUGUUUUUUGUAUUUCACAAUAUGCUACUUAUCUACCUAUCUAUUAGUUAUAUAUAAACUCUAUAAUUAUCAAGCGUUAAUUUGAUAACUGAUGCUAGUAACCACAAUGUUAUGGACCUUGUGGUUUAAUGUUGGCAACUUAAGCUGAUUAUUGGUGUUGAUAUCAAAUGUACUGUUCGGUUUAAUGAAGUGGUUUUGAUUAAUCAAGUUUACUCUUUGAUUAUUCUCUAUGCUCACGUUCGAUAUUUUUUUUUCAUUACUUUAUUUUACUCUUUUCUUUUUCUUUCCUUUCUCAAUAAUUUUCCUUCAAAUUUUGUAUGAAUUGAAUUCCUUUCCUAUCGUCUUUCUCCUCCAUGUCGUGAUUGUUAAUACUUGCCUUGAUUGAAUUACACCUUUUGUUUUUGGCAUACAUAUUCCCUUCCUAGGUUAAGUUGUAUAAUGAUGUAUAAUUAUAGUUAAUUUUGGCAUUAAUUUUACGUUUAUUAGUGUUUAUUUUAUUUUAUUUUUUUGAAAAAACUUGUCUUGAAAAUAAAGAGUUCUUUGAUCUUAUGUAGUUGGUGCUUAAAAUUGGAGUCCAAUAUAGUCAUUGUGAAUGCAUUUGGUAGCUGUUGUGGCAUAGGAAGGAGGGGUGUCACUGGUGAUUGGCGAAGUGGAAGUUGUACCACCAUAGACCAGGUUGGUACACAAUUUUUAUUCAUGCUUAUUUCUUCUAUGCAUAAUUUUAUGUCUGUUGUUUGGCAAUUAGUUUUAGAUUUAAGUGUCCGUUUUUAUAUCUAUUUUGUUAAGGGAGAGCAGAAAAACUGUUCUGUUGAAGUUGUGUCACUUUUUAAUUUUUCCCCUCUCCUACUCUCUCAAUCCUAAAUUAUCCCCCAACAAUUACUUAAGGUUUUUACUUGCAUACAAUGUGUGUGCCAAGGAAGGCUAGUUAUAUAUAAUGUGCCUAUCCUUUAUUAUUUUUUCCCUUGUAUUGAACUAACUUUUGCAUUAUGACUUUGCGUUUGAAAAAUGGAAUAUAUCUACCUAUAUAUAUAUAUAUAUAUAUAUAACUUGUAUUUACAUUUAAUAUGGUUCAACAAAUAAACAUCAUUCAGCACACAUUUCAUUGAUGCUAGGUGUGAUGAAAUGAUUUAUCACAUUCAACAGCCACCAAGGUUUGCAAUAUUCAUUGCGAGUUAAACUUGAUAUACAAGGUAUUCAGAUAAAGUUGAAAACUAUUUAACUUAAUUACUAGGAGACAAGCAAACGGAUAUCAAGCAACAAGGACGAAUCUUCAGUAUCCGCAAGAUCAAAACUGCAUGACUUUUCUUCUCAAAGGAUAGCCCUGAAAAUAUGUGAGAAAACACUAACAUCUUCCUGUUCCAUGACAAAAAAAUUAUCGGGAAUAACAAAAUCAAUUACUUAAACGUUUUCUAAUAACUACAUAGGAACAAUCUCAUGAUCAAUUUUGUUUGUCAUAGUAUCCCUAUCCUUAUAUAUUGUGACGUCUUCUAUACUCUUCUCAAUGAUGGUCAACUCUUUCGGAACUUUGGAUUCUUCAACAGUGUUUGUAAUUUGAAUCUCAGUUUGACUUUGUUCCAAAACAAUACCCUUCUGAACUUUCAAACACAGUGCUUCAAUUUGUGGUGUACCGAUAGGUUUUUGAAAUUCUUAAUAUGUAAUCAAGUACUUUACCUGUUCACGACCAUCAAUCGCAUACUCAUCCAAUUCAAAUUUUAGCUUUAGAUACCUUGCAGUAUGAUGCCCGUUUGAUUAGUGAGGAAGCAAACGAAUUCUCUUCUUUCCACAAUAAAAAUUAUAGCCAUUUUCACAAUCAAAAUAUUCACCAUGAAAAUCUUUCAACCAUAACCAUCCUAGCAAUAUAUGUGUUACAUCUAUAGGCAAAAACAUGACAAACCACCUCAAUUGUAUACUUUUUAAAUUUAAUUGGCACAACACUCCAAUGUGAAACUGUGAUUGAGGUAUUAUUAAGGUAAGGAAUUUCAAAGGAAUAAGAAAUUGGUUCGGGUUGAAGGUUUAAUUCUUUCACAAGUUUGGGUGAAACAAUAUUAAAGUCACUAUCUUUAUCAAGAACUAGUUUACAUGCCUUUGACUUACAACAGUGAACAUAAGUUUGAAAAGUAGAUUUGGGUCGCGAGUUAUUAUGUUGAAGCACUUUAGAUAUAAAAACGUUCUCAUAUUGGCAAGAGUAUUAAAACUCACCGAACAAUACAAUUUUGGGGUGUGUUUUCAGCACGUAUAAAACAUUAAGGUUUGGUAUGCAAGUAUUUAGAAGUUGAAGAAAUAAUCUUAGUGAAACUAAGAGGGAUCAAAUUGAUAGUUUGCAAUAUUAAAUCAAAUUGAUAAUUUUCUUCUUGUUUUUUUUGGAUAAGCGAAAAUUACGCGCGGCCUCGUUCCACCAUCCUAUUACUUUGGUUGGAUUAUUCGUAACUGCAUAUUUACAAUGUAGGCGUGGUGAUCAAUUGGAUCUUUGAUUAAUUAAUAUCUCUUUUUUGAUUGACCUCUUACACCAUUACUUUGGCUUUGGUGUCUUUCGAUUGUAUUUUUCUUUUUGUGAUUUGAUCUUUUUUUAUAAUUUUCUAAUAUAGGGUACUAGAGAAAUCUUGAUUUGAAUAACUCUUUUGACUCUUGCUCUUUCUUUAUCCGAAACUUCCUUCUUUGAAAGAAAAGAAAUAGAGAAAAUUUAUGUCUCAACGAAUCACACGUAGAGAUAGUUCUCACCAAAAACUAGAAAAUCCUCGAGACAACGCACGAGGUUCAAUCAGUUGUCACCUUAUUUGGAUACAAUUAUUCAGGCUCUGAUGCCAAUUGAUGCAACAGAAUUUGGUUAGAUUGUUACGCUCUAACACAAACGAGAUUUGAAGGUUUAGAAGUACCAACAAGAACGUAAGUUAACUCUUGAAUCCACAAGGAAUAAUGAACUCACAAAGAAAACAAAGAGAUAAUAAUAUAUUGAUUGAUCAAAAUGUUCUCUUUAAAUAAACCCUAGAAAGUAUAUUUAUAAUACUAAACUACUUUCUUAUGACUAAUUGGCAAAAGAAAUAAUUAAAUCCUAAACUAAAUAAAAUUAGAAAAGUUAAAGCCCAAAACAUAAAUGAGCUAAAUAUAAAUUUAGCUAUUAAAUUUUCCUAACGAAUAAAUUAAAAUACAUCAAAUAAAUUAAAGUUCUAUAAAUAUUAAAAUAUAUGGAAAUCCAAAUCUUUUUUGUUAUAUUCCACCGUAUCACAACCCAAAGGAUAUUAAGUAGAAGAUCAAUAAGCCGAGCUCAAUUCGUAUGGCAUUCCACCCUGUCCCAUUUAUUGUGGAUAACUCAAAGUAUUGCAUGGUGGAUAGCUAACACCUCCACAUGAAGGGGUGAAAUUGCCACAGUAUGAAUAGCAAUGCUAGAGUAUUGCAGAUCAGCUCCCUACCAAACACAUCCAAUAGUCGCACAACCACCUUCCUUUACCCAGCUCCCAUUCAAUUGCAUAAAGACAACACCAUGACUUGCAAGAGUCCCUUCUCUAGCUUUUCCUCUUAGGGAACAAUAAAAACGCCAAUGACUCAAAUAACCUUACUAAAAUAUUAAGAAUUUCUAAUCACUAAUUAAUAUCCUAAUGCCCCCGCUAAUAAGUUAGUAAAUAAUUAAGAGUAAAGUUCAGAUAACCACCUGGGGUUUGGGCGCUUUCCCACUUAACAACUUGUAGUCGGUAAAGCUACAUUUAAACUUCCGACUUUUUGAGUUGAAGUAAAUAAAUGCUUUCCGUCUAACUCCGUUACUUUAAUUGGCUAAAAACUUAAUUACCCUCCAAUUUCUUUUUUUUAUGGUUUAACUGGAAUGAGAGAUUUCACAAACAGAGCUGCUAGCUUCUCACUAUGCCAAGCCACUGCUUGCUCUCUCUUCCUCGCUUAAAUCAAAUGAGACUUGCAUAGUAUUAGCAACAUAGCCUCCUAAUCUAGCCUUUCUCAAAAUUUCAUUAAGCUUGUCUCGAAUCUCUACAAUUUGGGGGUGGAAAUGAUCAGCAACACGAAACUCAUGAACAACACCAUACACCUCAAUCCAACUACAUCCAGGACUCGAAUUCUCCAGCCUGUUUAAAGUAAAUUGUCUUGUUGCAGCCUGUUCGAUUUAUUGAAGAAAAUUUGCAAACUGGGUCUGAUUAUAAUGGAGGCAAAAUUUAUUUUUUUUGGGUGUGUGAUAAUGAAUGCAACUUCUCUGAAAUAGAUAGUAGUUUUUCUUGUUCGAUCAAGUUUUUGAGUUUACUCGCCUGGGAUGGACAAAUCUCUUGUCUGCAAACAAUUCUUUGCAGAGUUACCAGAGGACUUUAUCCAGUGUGAUGUAAGAUUGUUCCUCUGGUUAAAAAAAUUAUACUUAUUAUGUUGUGUGUAUUCUAGUAGUGUGGCGAUAAUGGUUUGGAUUGAUUUAGCCGGAAGUAAUAUAGGGAUAAAAAUUGAAAAGAAAAAGAAGAGGGGGGCUGUUAAUUUUCCUCCAUUUCUUUAGAGGUCUUAUCUCUAAGCACAAUAAGGAUUACUUACUUUAGACUUCUUCAGAAGUUCAAUCCAACACAACAGGCUGCAUCGAGACUAAAUUCCAGCAAGCUUUCAUACAAAAGCCCUAAAAAAGUAUGAAAGUCGAUAACUUUGCUCAAAAUACAGAAUUUUUUUGCAGAAAUUUUCAACGGAUCUUGCUGAAAAAAAGAAAAUGGAGCUCAAAUUAACGUCAAACUACAAAAUUUCUGAAAAUUUAAAAUCAUUUAUUACGAAAAUUACAGUUUAUUAAAUUAGGUAAAAAGAAAUGAGAAAAAAAUAGGAAAAUCUCAGAAAAAAGCUCCCAAAAAAUAAAGAAUUUCUUACCAAUAAUAAGGGAAAAUUAUGAGAAGCAGCGAAGAUAUAAAACGGAUCGAAAAGAAAGAAGAUAAGUAAUUGGGUGGACAGCUCCCCUGAUUUCCGUGCACAGCUUCUUUGGGUGGAUUUGAAAUUGGGGAAGAAGCCUAGAAAAUUGGGAAUCCUACUACGAUUUGGGGAUAGAUUGAAAAGAAAAAGAAGGGAUGAUGAUGGGAUGAAGCAAUUUGGGUUUCAUGAAUGAUGAAGAAGAGAAAUUGGGAGACCCAAAUGUAUGGCCUUCGUAUAUCACGAAUUGGGUAUCCCAAUUUAUCAGCCCGUGGAUUUGAAAUUGGGGAAUAACCCUAGAAAUUGGGACUGGGGAUGAUGAGCAGAAGCUGCAAGCAGACCAUCAUACUCCCUAGCAGCAUCGGAGAGGAGACUGAAGUUUGAUCGGAGAGGAGAGGAAUGUUAAAGAGGAAGAAGGGGUAUUUCAGACAUUUAUCAGUCCUUUUUGACUGUUACAGCCUCUUCUCACGCGUUUUUGGCGUCUGACAUACACUCACAGUUAAGUUGGAUGGAAAAAGUGACGUUUUCACUUCAACUCAAAAAGUCGGGAGUUUAAAUGUAGCUUUACUGACUACAGGUGGUUAAGUGGGAAAGCGCCCAAACCCCAAGUGGUUAUCUGAACUUUACUCAAUAAUUAAUUACAUCAAUUCUCAUCAUAUUAAACAAAAUAAUACUUUCAUAAAAUGAAUCAACAUAUCUUCUUGGCUUUGGACUCCUCGCCAUCAUCACUUAAAAGCCAAUAACAAUCGUUGCCUUUUUAGUCAUUGAUAAACCCAUUGAUAAUAGUCAUCGUCUUAAACGACCAUAAUUGUUUAGACUCGAUUAUGGAGUCAUUUAAGAAACCUAAUACUGUUGUCGUUCCAUUCUUUCCCCUUCACCGAAUAAAUACUCAAAGCUGAAACCUUUACUUUCUAUUUCCUAAGAAUUUGAAGUUAAGUUUUGAGAUAUUUACUUUUAUUUUAUUUUUUUUUGUUUCUCGACAAGGAUGGUCACCACAUAAAUUACUUUUUGCUCAAGAAUUUUCACAAGUAUACAAUCAUUUAAUAGUUGAAAUAGAGAUCCCAAAUGCCUCAAUCGCUUGCAUAGAUUGACAUUUUACAAAAUAACAAGAAUAGUUGGCUUGUUUUCACUGUGAUUGGCAUCAUAAUUGCUUGUGCCACGUUAUGAGUUAUUUAAGCUUUUGCCUGAUAUUUAGAUGUUGAGGUGGCCUUAUUAGUUUGUUGCUUAUGUUAAUUAGCUCAAUCAGGUCUAGUAAUAUCUUUUACACAUGAAAGGAAAGUUAGCUUGUUAAGAUACGAACAAAAGAUGAUUUUGCCCCGUGAAAAUCAUUGUGAAAAAAGUACCGAGUCAUAUUUAAUGAUUAAGCUAUAAUUUAAGUUUUUUGGGUUAUCCUUGUUACAUUAAAUAUAAACAUAAGUUCAUAAAAAGGAGAUUGUUGUUUUGGACAUUACAAAAGUGAGAUUGUUGAUUGCUUUUAACCAUGUGCAUGCAUCUUUUGGAGUUUUUUCUCAGUAAUAUUUAGUUCCUUUUUCCUUAAUUUUACGUUGUUAUACAUGAGACGUCACCAUAUAUUUUGAGGGAUGCUUUUCCAUUGAAGGUUGGACUCUCAAGUAGGUAGCUAAAAAGAUUGUGGAUUUUCUGUAAUUCUGGACCUUUUUAGUUUUUCCAAUGUUUUUGUAGUUAUAUUGUCUGGUUUCACUCAAAGUAAUUCAUUGGCAUGAUUCGUUGUUCAUCAUUCCUCAUUAGCCUAGAUAAGGCUGUUAAUGAUUGGAACUGUGGCUUUUUUGUGAUUAUUGAAUUCAUCAUCCAUCAUCCAUCAGUAGCCUUUUCAUGUUUUGUCUAUCUAAGGACAUUUGUUUUUUCCCCGCCACUAAUGGCUAAUAUAGUACUCCUCUGUAGUAUAUUAAAAAUUUCCCUUCGAAAUUUAAUGUGCUUUAAGAAAAUGAUGAUUGCAAUAAUUUAUGAAUUCAACAAUGCGACUGUUUAUUUGAACCCUGUCAUUAAGAUUAAAUUCUAGAAUAACGCCUUGGAUUAAUAACGAAGCUUGCAUGAAAUAGUACUAAAAUUUUAGGUGGUUGUUGGUCGUCAAGUGAAUUUUGGUUAAUGUUAUCUGUUGUAUUAUAUUAGAUUUUAAUGAUUAGGUUAAUUAAAAAUUAGUCAUUAUCUAUUGUACUCACUCCGUUCCUAAAAGAUUGUCGUUUUAGAAGAAAAUUUUUGUUCCAAUUUAUUUGUCGUUUACAAUUUUCGAGAAGAAUAAAUUAUUUACUUUCCUAUAUCACCUCUACCUUCUCUCAUUGUUCCAAAAAAUUAUCUCUUGUAUUAAUAGUUUUCAACUUCCCAUAAAUGGGUAGCGAUGGAAUUUCAAACAAAUUUUAAUUGUUAAAUGAUAGUAUUAAAUGACUUUCUUAAUCCAUGUGUAAAAACCUUUAGGAGCGGACGUAGUACACAACGUGUAAAAAACGCAUCCAAAACUUUCUUAGCCAAGUGAUGAUUCCGCCUUUUGGUGUAAUUAUUAUCACUUGGUCUUGUAAUAUCACUUGAUUCCUCUCUUUGUUAAGUACAGGCGGGAAACUUUCUUUAGGUUUGAAAAUUUACAAUGAUAUUAGUACAUUGGUUUCAAAAAAAAAAGUCUAUAAGAAUUACCUGUAAAUUAUUAGUUUUACAAUAUUUAAGAGAAACAUAUAAACUCUUCAAUUCCUGUAUUCUAAGAAAAAGUUAUUAGUGAUUUUUUUAUAUUUAUGAUUUGACUUUGAAAAAAGAAAGAAUUUAAAAUUAGUACUAAACUACUCCUUUCAUCCCAAAAUAGUUAUCCGAUUUUAUUUUUACGAUAGACAAAUGCGAUUGACGUUUGUCAUCACUCAAAUAUUUAUUUUAGUUGAAUUAUAUUGCAUCACAUUGUAUCCACAACAAAAACAAAAUUUCCUACUCUUUACAAAAGUAUUUCUCCCGCCCUUUGUGUAAAACUUUUUAUUUUAAUUAAAAAGGUUUAUUUUUUUCGUUACUUGUUCGCAAGACAAGGUAAAUGCUUUAUUAUAAGCCAGGUGGAUGCCUCUUUGUGUCAGAUAAGUACAUGCACUGCUCUUCAAUCUAAUCUACUUUAUUUGACGGAAUAAGGGCACUGUCUCACUGUGACUCUUCAUUAGACUUUUUGGCGGGAUAAGGACAGUACUGUUACUCUUCAUUAGAGUUUUUGGCGGGAUAAGGACAUUGUGACUUUUUAGUCUUGUAAUCUAUUUAUGACUCCAAACUUCCAAAAAUUUUUUGAUCUACUUUGUGGCGGGAUAAGGGUGCAUUGUGAUUAUUCAGUCUUGUCCGUGUCCCUCGCUCUAUUUAUCCCUUCAGACUUAUUUUUCUAUUCAGUCUUCUUUAUCUUUUCUAUUUUCAACUAUUAGUUGCAUAUCCUCUUCUGAUUCUCUCUCUACUUUAGUACCGGAGGUCGCAUUCCCGUUUAUUUCCUAUCAGAUCUGUUUGAUAACACAUCAAACAGAUCUAAGCCGAGGUGGAUAAGAUUUUUUGUAGCGUAGUGGAGGCUCCAGUACUAUUUUUGGUAGCGUAGUUGGGGGGACGGGAGAGUUUUGUUGAUGGUUAACUGUAAGACCCUAACUUUUUAUGAAUAAAGAUUUAAUUUUUUCUAAAUGUUAUUUUGAAUAAUAAGGCGUUGAUUUGAUAUAAUGUUAUAGUUAUGGGUAAUAUGUGCAAAUUUUGCAAAGUAAGCAAGUUGUCAAUUAAAGCUUAAAAUUUCUUUCUGGAAUGUCUUGAAAUAAACUUCACGAACACAAGCUGUGUUCUUGAUUCUAUCCCAAAGGUAUGCACGUUGUACAGGUAUCAAGGUCACUUUGAAAUUUAAAAUUUUAGGUAAACUUAUAUAGUACUCCCCUCCCUUUAAAUUUUAAAUUUUGAGUAAACUUAGUUAUGAUUCAAUAUUUAAUAUGCAAAGAUCCAUUAAUAUUAUUGUUCCAACUAUGCCCGCUUUGAUUUUGAAAACAUAAAGUACAAGUAAAUCAAAUACUAUAUUCAACCAUAAUUUAUUUUUUAAAUAAAAGUGACGAUUUUCUUUAUACACUUAUAUUUGUCCAUUCCCUCAUUUGUGUACUCUAUUUUUCCUUAUAAAAAUUUAAAUAAAAGUGAUGUAUACUUAUAUGUUAACGCCACCAACAUAUUAUUUAGAACUUUAUAUAUGACUUUGUUUAUGAACAUAUUGUAAUAUAUUACAACACCAACACAUUACAACAAAUAAUUGCAAUUAAGAUAUGCAUACCAUAUUAGUAUAAGCGGAAUGAUCCAUAGCAUAUAGAUGCUAUGGAAUAAAAAGUGGCAUAUAACAUCUAUACCAUCCGUCUAAUUAAUGAAUGGCUGUGAUAUUAUUGAGAGAAAACCCGUCCGCUAGACUUACUAGCGGGCGUAUUAAGUAUAAUUGUUGGACGCUUAUGCCCCCACUUUCCCCACUUAGCCAAGUAAGUACACAAUCCGCUAGUCAUACUAGCGGACGGGUAAAUUAAAAGGGGGGAAAGGUAACAAAUGUUAUUGUCCGUGUUCUGCGAAUUGGGCGAACCGGAAGAACCCUAGAAGCAAGUAUCUGCAAAUCGAAAAGGUAACAAAGGUAUAGAUAUACAGUGCCAAAAUUCGUCCCUAGUAUGUCUAGCGGUUUGGGCGAACUAGAAGAACCCUAGAAGCAAUCAUCUGCAAUUCGGCAACAAGUUAUCGAAAUUAAACCUUGUUCUUCCAAACAGAAUUCGCAGGUAUGUCUACAGUUUAAUAUCCAAAAUCUGAAUUUAAACAUGACAUUCAUUCUUUUUCUACAGAUCGAUUGUAUUUAUUUUAUUUUUUAUUUUAUAUUUUCUUGGAAGUUUCAAAGUUAUAUAAUCUUGAAGCCUAGAUUUGUGGGAAAAAAUGCAUUUUUUUGGUUCACAUUUAGCUCUGUUAUAGUCAUGAGAUGCAUAAUGUUUUUUGAUUUUGAAAUGUAAAUGCAUGUGGAUUGAAUUGGCCAAUGCAAUGAUGAUUGGUUUUGAUUUGAUGGCUGGAUGGUGACGUGAUGAUAGAAUGUCAUAUAUUUCUGUUCUAUUUCCUAUUGGCGUUCUUUGAUCUUAAGCUAUUGAAUAUGAUCAAAUAAAAGUGCUGGACUGAUUAUGCUAAAUUACUACAAUUUGCUAAUAUUUAGUUCCAUAGAUUCGAUAAUAUGGUGCUUUUUUUUUUCCUUCUCAUUUUAUCAAUGCUACUCGUCUCUUUGAAAAUUUUGUAUUUUAGAUCAGUUUAAUGCAUUUAGUUUUCUUUGGUUUUUAACUUCAUGCCGAGGUACGAGUUAUACUCCCUCCGUCCUAAAAAAUUAUUCUUACUUUUCUUUUUGUGAUUAUUAAGGUUUGCAUACCACAUACUUUGACAUAGUUUAUUUCAAUAAUAAGUUUGAGUAUGUAAAGCUUAAUAUUGAAAAAUAUCAUCUAAAAAAGAAUACUCUUUUCUUAGGACGCUGGGAGUGAUCAAGUGUUCUAUGCUAUGCUAUGUACGCUGGGAGUGCCUUAAGUAUUGUAUGCUAUUUUGAAUUUGUUUGACCAAGUGUCAUGCUUCAAUGGAUUAUAUUGGUUCUCCUUAUUAGCAGCCAUCUCUGGCAAUCUUGAGUCUAGAUCAAUUAUAUUGAUAUUUUACUGUUUUUGUGUGUUAGGUCUGGUGUGGUGGUUUUAUCAAUCUUUUAGUUGUUUCUUGUUGUGAGAAAGGAGAAAGAGAUCUCUGUUUAGCAGGAGGGAGGAGGGUUAGAUAGGGGGAGAAGAUGGUAAAACUUUACUUAUUCUUUAUUAUUCAACUACUGUAACUAAAAUGUUUCUGAUAUGCAUUCUCUGGUUUAAUUGGCAUCUUGUCAGUGUUUGCCAACAGAAAUUGAAAUCAGAAAAUUGUGUUGUUGAAUGCCCCUAUGAAUAUCUAUAUGAAGCAUUUAUCCUUGAUUUAUUUACUUUGGGUAUCUGAAUAGUUAUACAUUUCAAUCUUCUUGAAUACUGAUACACCUUUCACAUGAGGAGACAUAAAGCUGAAUUUAGUGCUCUUUGAAUAAAGAAAUGUUUUUUUGCUCAUCUGAAUACUGGGUUGUGUACUUCCAAUACUCUCUUCUUAACUGGAUGUUCUCUUUUCUUGAUUUGCUAGAGAGCAUCUAGGGCUAGUUGGUUGGAAAGUUUCUGUAGCCGAAUACUUUUGGUUUCUUUUGGCCUUUUUUCUGUUUAGGGUUGUUUUUCUCCUAGAAUAAUUCACUUGCCAAUGGAGCCAAUUCCAUCCAUCCAUUGCUAUAGUGUGGGUCUGGCCCUGCAGGUGAGCCCCUCUGAGGCAAAGCGUGUGUGAGAAAUAUCAUUACACUAAAGGCAUGACAUAAAAGCUAUGCUUAUCCCAAUUCAUCUUUUUCCUUCUCCUCCUUCAUGCUCUCAAGUUAUUCUUCCAUGUUUACCUAUAACCUUGAAAAAUUGUUAGCAUAGUUGUGGCGUGGCGUGAUAAUAAAAUUAUAAUGAAAAAAUUUUAGAUAGGGAUUUGAUAUUUUUAAAUGUGUUUUUUUUAUAGGGAAUUGAUAUUUUUAAAUGUGUUUUUUAGAUAGGGAAUUGAUAUUUUUAAUAUCUAUAUUUCUUUUGCAGUGUUUAUGCCUUUCUUUACACAUGCUAAAAGAUUUAUUGAAAAAUUUGCUAUGUUCCUACCUAUCAAGUUAUCAUCGUAUUCAUGGUGAAUAUCACUGAAUUAACAUAUUUAAGGGACUCUAAUAUGUUACAUUGUAAUUGUUGGUCAUUAAUAGUCUAUCUGAUUUGAGAAAUGAACUGAACUCUGUUUUUAUAUUUCCCCUGAAAUAAGAUAUAAUGUCACAUUUAUUUUUGACUUUUGUAGUGUCUUGUUAUUAUUUAUAUGAUAUUCGACACAGUUUGUUCUUUGUAGUUGUUUAGUAUUGAUUUCCAAAACCAACGUAUGGGUUUUGUAGUAGUAGAUAAAUGGGGUUGUUGGUUUUCUUAAUGUUUCUUUAUUAGCUUUGUUUUUCUGCAGCAAGUUCCAUCUUCAAGUGCUUCAUAUUUUUCUUCACUUUACUUUCAUACUAUAGAGACUAAUAUAAGCCACUUGAAUUCAGACUCCCAUCAAAAGAAUUUCCUAUUAAGAAACAGAAAAAUCAAACUAAUAUAUGGUUAGCUAUCUCAUUACUGCCUGAAUUUAAUGUUGCAGGGAUGAAUUGAUACUGUGGUUCUCCUUUAAUUGAUACUACUGGAGAUGGCAAACAAACUAAUGCAUGGUAAUAUAUUUUGACUUGAUUCCCUUACAGCUAUUAUACAUUUGAAAGCAAACCAUAUUGUGGUAUCACUGGGAAUGACCUCUUGAAUUUGAUUAAGUUCUCGAGUUACUUUUCCUUCAGUGUCAGUUCAAUUUGAAGUAGCAUGUUACUCGAUCUAUUGCCAAAUUCUAAAGAUUGAGAAAAUUGCCCUGUCUUUAAUGUGAUACACUAAGUUUUUUGCAUGUGGAAGGUCAAUACUCUUGUUUUCAAAAUGAUUAGUUUUUUUGUUUUAGACUUGCAAGUUUACCAUUUGAUUGGAAAUUUAAAUUAAUUGUAAUAAUGAGCAUAUAUUUGUAAUUCAUAUACUGAAAUACACUGUCAAUUCUUAAAUUGGUUUGAAACAAUAAUUCGUGUUUGUUAAUUUAUUUCAAAUGGGUCUUCAAAGUGUCAUGUUUGUCAUGAGAUUUCUCUACUCUUCAUCUUAUUCCAGGGUCAGUUUCUUUUAUGUAUUUGAUUUGAUCUCCUUUGGAAUUUGAAAUAUUUGAUUUGCUAGAAUUUGAAAUUUUAUAUAUCUUGUUUUGAUUUGGAUUUCGAAUAUGAUUUGGACUGAUAUGGAAAUUUUGAUGUAUUGGGGCUGAUAUGGAAAUUUUGAUGUAUUGGGGCUGAUAUGGAAAUUUUAAUGUAUUAGUGUAUGAUGUUGCUGUGUGUAUGCAGGAGGGAAUUCAUGUUGCACAAGGAUUGCUGUACUGCGUGUAUGCAGGAGGGAAUUAGUGUAUGAUGUUGUUGUGUGUAUGCAGGAGGGAAUUCAUGUUGUUGCGUGUUGCUGUACUGAAUUCAUGUUGUUGCGUGUUGCUGUACUGCGUGUAUGCAGGAGGGAAUUCUUGUAUGAUGUUGUUGUGUGUAUGCAGGCCCUCUUGUAUGAUAUUGUUGUAUGAUGUUGUGUGUAUGCAGGCCCUCUUGUAUGAUGUUGCUGUGUCGCAGGAGGGAAUUCUUGUAUGAUGUUGCUGUUCGUGUAUGAUAUUCUGUGAUAGUUUUUAUCCAUCCGCUAGAAGUACUAGUGGAUGACGUUAUUUUCAAUUGGUCAGCAGUGCUAAUAGGGGGCGGAAAAAUUACUUAAUACGUCCGCUAGUAUGUCUAGCGGACGGGAUUUCUCUCAAUAAUAUCACAACCAUUCAUUAAUUAGACGGAUGGUAUAGAUGUUAUAUGCCAUUUUUUAUUUUGCGUGUAUGCAGGAGGGAAUUCUUGUAUGAUGUUGCUGUGUGUAUGCAGGCCCUCUUGUAUGAUGUUGCUGUGUCGCAGGAGGGAAUUCUUGUAUGAUGAAUUUGUGUAUGAUGUUGCUGUUCGUGUAUGAUAUUCUGUGAUAGUUUUUAUCCAUCCGCUAGAAGUACUAGUGGAUGGCGUUAUUUCCAAUUGGUCAGCAGUGCUAAUAGGGGGCGGAAAAAUUACUUAAUACGUCCGCUAGUAUGUCUAGCGGACGGGAUUUCUCUCAAUAAUAUCACAACCAUUCAUUAAUUAGACGGAUGGUAUAGAUGUUAUAUGCCAUUUUUUAUUCCAUAGCAUAUAGAUGCUAUGGAUCAUUCCCCUUGGUAUAAUUCACAUAUAUAUUUUUUGAUUUUACCUCAAGUCACUUCUCUUUGACUUUCGCUUGACCUUUUAUAGAUGAAUCUGAAAAAGAAUAUGAAUAGAUUUUUAAGCAAUAGUUAAAAUAUAUUAGAAUUCAACUUUUAUGGGUGGUUUAGUUAAAAAUGGGAUCCACUUGUAGAAAUAUUAUGGAAAUAUCAAUUCUCAUAAUUUAUUGUAAUACAAAGUGAUUCCUCAACUUUUCUAUCAAUUUAAGGGAAAAAAUAAAAUAAAAUUUGCACAUACAAUCAUUAGAAAUUUUGACUUUAAAUUUGGGAACAUGAAGUGAUGUUGGUGUAGUGGGUCUAUUCCGGUUUUGUCUUGGAGGAGAGAAAAAGUCUACUCUCCUUUUGUUCUCUUUUGUUUCUUAAAAAAGGAUUGUCAAACAGUGGGACCCGUCCAUCCAUUUGCCAAUGGGCUAUUUAGUAUCCUUGUCCUUGUUUGGUACUCUCUCCUACCGGCUAUUCUAUUUAUCAUUUAGAUUUUCAAAACACAACUUUUUCCUUUCUAUUUUUAAUAUCAAUUGCA
rnacentral:lncRNA from 1 species